GGCUCUGACAGACUAACAGGAUUUUCCUAGUAACGGCGAGUGAACGGAAAUUAGCCCAGCAUCGAAGCCUAUCCAUAUUUAUGGACAGGGCAAUGUGAUGUUCAAGUUUCAACCUGGAUACGCUAGUCUACUCGAAGUCCAACUCCGAUUACGGCUUUGGAUUUACUGCCAUUGAGGGUGAAAGACCCGUUCGUGUAGACAUUACUGUUUUUAGCGUGUCUUAGAUGUUGUUACUUUAGAGUCGGAUUGCUUGAGAAUGCAGUCCAAAGUGGGUGGUAAACUCCAUCCAAGGCUAAAUACUGGCACGAGUCCGAUAGUAAACAAGUACCGUGAGGGAAAGUUGAAAAGUACUCUGAAGAGAGAGUAAAUAGUACGUGAAGCUGCCUGCAAGGAAGCUGGUGGAGUCAAGCUUCUUAGGAUUUGAAUUGGUGCGGAGAAUUAAUGUAAUUUGGGCCAAUUGUGUAUCAGCUUGAAAAUGGCUGGAUAGGUUUACCUAUCUAAGGCGUUCCGGGUUGUACGCUUAUAAUGCAUUCUAUAUUAUGGCUCAUUCUCUUGUACUGUUUCUUAUCCUUAACAUCACAGUCAAUGUGCUUUAUAUUGUAUGAUAGUCUAACCGUGGCCUUUGUGGACUUCGUUUCACUGGCCAUGGAAUGGCAGGUGAAGAUAUGUGGACCCUGGUUUACAUGUUUUAUAAUAUUGGUUUUAAACCUUGCUGAUUAUCAUAUUAUUGUUGUUAUAAAAUUAAUUAAGCGCAUUGUUCUUAUAUCAUUAAUAACCGUAAGGUUAUUAUGAUGAGAGCUGUGGUGCCGAGGUAGACGUUCCACCCGACCCGUCUUGAACCCCCGGACCAAAA
rnacentral:rRNA from 1 species